GACAAGCUGACCUGAAAGAUUUAUAUAAUAACGGAGUGAGCUAAAAACAGCUCAGCAAAUAACAAAGCAUAUAUAGCAUGAGAAGGGACAGUUUCAAACAAACAAGAUAUCACAAUGCAAGACAGAAUCCAAGAGAUUCAAGGAUAUCAUCUCAUUAGAUACAGAAUCGCAAAUGUCAUUUCAUUCAUAACAUAUUUGGUUCAUAACAAAUGGAGCAUAGAGUAAUUGGAGCAUAUCAAUAGCGAAUGAAAUGUUCCGGAGCAUAUCAACAACAUAUGGAACAUUUCGAAGCAUAACAAUAGCAAAUGAAACAUUUCAGAGCAUAUCAAAGGCGUAUGAAAUGUUUCGGAGCAUAUCAAUAACAAAUGGGACAUUUCGA
rnacentral:lncRNA from 1 species